CUGCUUCUGGGUUUCAUCCCCGUUUGGCUGUUGCUGCUCGCGUGCUGCGGCAGCUCUUGCAUGUUUUAGACGAGCAACCUUUGGCACGAAAUCCUGGAGCCAUUGACAUAUCGAUCAGACCAUAAGCUAGAGAAACAUAGCUGCCAGCAAGUAAACUGAAGCUGAUACGAUACCUGCAGCUCCUUGUGUUCUGAACAGUCUCUGGGGUAGGCAUCUUCUUCAUUAUGGAAGGCUUCAUCUAGCACCUCCUGCGCGAUUGGCAAGCACGCGUGUGAUCAUAUAGCACAGUUCACAAUACAAGGCCUCGGAAUGGUGUCAAAUAUUGAACAAAACAACGCACCCCAUACGCAUCCCAGUCGAUGGCUUUGCUCAUGGUGCCUCAUGAUGGCCUCAUAAUGGGGUAGGACCGGUGAUUGCAGGAUAAUAGUUCAUGCCAUUUUCUAUGGUUUGACGGGGUGACAACGACGGAGUAUACACCGAUACAUAUUAAUCUGCCUGCAUGGGAGAACGUUCCCUUGGAUAUGGAUCACAGUUGAGAUAUUCUCCUCAAACUGACUAGACAGUUCAGACAUUGGCUUCACAACAUUCUCAGAUCACAACAGAAAUUAUCCUUCAAAU
rnacentral:lncRNA from 1 species